rnacentral:rRNA from 1 species
GACGAACGCUGGCGGCGUGCCUAAUACAUGCAAGUUUAGCGAUGAAGAUUGGUGCUUGCACCAAUUUGAAGAGCAGCGAACGGGUGAGUAACGCGUGGGGAAUCUGCCUUUGAGCGGGGGACAACAUUUGGAAACGAAUGCUAAUACCGCAUAACAACUUUAAACAUAAGUUUUAAGUUUGAAAGAUGCAAUUGCAUCACUCAAAGAUGAUCCCGCGUUGUAUUAGCUAGUUGGUGAGGUAAAGGCUCACCAAGGCGAUGAUACAUAGCCGACCUGAGAGGGUGAUCGGCCACAUUGGGACGGAGACACGGCCCAAACUCCUACGGGAGGCAGCAGUAGGGAAUCUUCGGCAAUGGACGAAAGUCUGGCCGAGCAACGCCGCGUGAGGGAAGAAGGUUUUCGGAUCGUAAAACUCUGUUGGUAGAGAAGAACGUUGGUGAGAGUGGAAAGCUCAUCAAGUGACGGUAACUACCCAGAAAGGGACGGCUAACUACGUG